rnacentral:sRNA from 1 species
AACUGUAUGCUAGAUCUUGAGUUGCUUUUAUUUUUAAAAGGAUGUCAGAAGCUUUACUCCUUCAAGUACGUGUAUUUAUUCUUUUGGUAGCAGUAAGAUAAACGCUGCACUGUUGUACCUGUACAUUACUUCGCACCAGAUGGCUUCCAAUACUUUUUAC